rnacentral:rRNA from 1 species
ACGGAAGGCAGCAGUGAGGAAUAUUGGUCAAUGGAGGCAACUCUGAACCAGCCAUCUCGCGUGAAGGAAUACGGCCCUACGGGUCUUAAACUUCUUUUAUAGGGGGAUAAAGUGAGAUAUGUAUAUCUUUUUGUAGGUACCCUAUGAAUAAGCAUCGGCUAACUCCGUGCCAGCAGCCGCGGUAAUACGGAGGAUGCGAGCGUUAUCCGGAUUUAUUGGGUUUAAAGGGUGCGCAGGCGGCACGUUAAGUCAGCGGUGAAAUGUCGGGGCUCAACCCGGGCACUGCCGUUGAAACUGGCGAGCUUGAGUACGGAUGAAGUCGGCGGAAUGUGAUGUGUAGCGGUGAAAUGCUUAGAUAUGUCACAGAACACCGAUUGCGAAGGCAGCUGACUAAUCCGCAACUGACGCUCAGGCACGGAAGCGUGGGGAUCGAACAGGAUUAGAUA